UUUCCGUAGGUGAACCUGCGGAAGGAUCAUUGCAAACCAGCGAGUGCUGGGAGGUGUUGGGAUGAAAACGCCUAGGAACCGCACGUCGGGGAAUCGUCGACCAGAGAGAACUCACAGCACUGCUCAUAUAUGGACGGCUGGCUGGUCUCUGACUGCGUGCUGAUGUUUACGCUUGUUUGAUUGACAAAUCUUUGCAUCAAAAUUUCAAAACUUUUAACAACGGAUCUCUUGGCUCUG
rnacentral:misc_RNA from 1 species